UAAAGUUGUUGCGGUUAAAAAGCUCGUAGUUGGAUUUCAGUUCUGGACUGACGGUUCACCGCCCGGUGCAUACUGUCACGCUCCGAACAGCCACAACAGCCCGCUGGCUCGCACGGGGUGCUCUUCAUCGAGUGUCCCGCGUGGCCGGCAGAGUUUACUUUGAAAAAAUUAGAGUGCUCAAAGCAGGCUACACUGACGGCCUGAAUGCCUAUGCAUGGAAUAAUGGAAUAGGACCUCGGUUCUAUUUUGUCGGUUUUCUGAACCCGAGGUAAUGACUAAUAGGAACAGGCGGGGGCAUUCGUAUUGCGACGCUAGAGGUGAAAUUCUUGGACCGUCGCAAGACGAACUACUGCGAAAGCAUUUGCCAAGGAUGUUUUCAUUAAUCAAGAACGAAAGUUAGAGGUUCGAAGGCGAUCAGAUACCGCCCUAGUUCUAACCAUAAACGAUGCUGACCAGCGAUCCGCCGGCGUUAUUCCCAUGACCCGGCGGGCAGCUUCCGGGAAACCAAAGUCUUUGGGUUCCGGGGGAAGUAUGGUUGCAAAGCUGAAACUUAAAGGAAUUGACGGAAGGGCACCACCAGGAGUGGAGCCUGCGGCUUAAUUUGACUCAACACGGGGAACCUCACCAGGCCCAGACACCGGAAGGAUUGACAGAUUGAGAGCUCUUUCUCGAUUCGGUGG
rnacentral:rRNA from 1 species